rnacentral:rRNA from 1 species
CAUGCAAGUCGAGGGGCAGCGCGAGGUAGCAAUACUUUGGCGGCGACCGGCGCACGGGUGCGUAACACGUAUGUAACUUACCUCUUACAAUCGGAUAACACGGUGAAAGUCGUGCUAAUACGGUAUAGUUUCGCAAGCUCGCAUGGGCAUGCGAAUAAAGAUUCAUCGGUAGGAGAUAGACAUGCGGUCCAUUAGAUAGUUGGUGAGGUAACGGCUCACCAAGUCGACGAUGGAUAGGGGGACUGAGAGGUUGACCCCCCACACUGGUACUGAGACACGGACCAGACUCCUACGGGAGGCAGCAGUGAGGAAUAUUGGUCAAUGGGCGAGAGCCUGAACCAGCCAAGUCGCGUGAAGGAAGACGGUUCAUAAGGAUUGUAAACUUCUUUUGCAGAGGAGUAACGGUAGGCACGUGUGCCUGUGUGAACGUACUCUGCGAAUAAGUAUCGGCUAACUCCGUGCCAGCAGCCGCGGUAAUACGGAGGAUACGAGCGUUAUCCGGAAUUAUUGGGUUUAAAGGGUGCGUAGGUGGCUAUUUAAGUCAGGGGUGAAAAGCAUGAGCUCAACUCAUGUCUUGCCUUUGAAACUGGACAGCUAGAGAAAAGACGAGGUAUGUGGAAUGUGUGGUGUAGCGGUGAAAUGCAUAGAUAUCACACAGAACUCCGAUUGCGCAGGCAGCGUACCAGACUUCUUCUGACACUGAAGCACGAAAGCGUGGGGAUCAAACAGGAUUAGAUACCCUGGUAGUCCACGCAGUAAACGAUGAAUACUAGUUUUUUGCGAUAUACGGUAAGAGACUAAGCGAAAGCGAUAAGUAUUCCACCUGGGGAGUACGCCGGCAACGGUGAAACUCAAAGGAAUUGACGGGGGCCCGCACAAGCGGAGGAACAUGUGGUUUAAUU